GACGAACGCUGGCGGCGUGCCUAACACAUGCAAGUCAACUUGACUGAAGGAGCAAUCUGACAGUAGAGUGGCGCAAGGGUGCGUAACGCGUAAGUAACUUGCCCAAGGUAAGGAAUAACGUCGAGAAAUCGGCGCUAAUACCUCAUAAUGCAGCGGAUCCGCAUGGAUAUGUCGUUAAAGGUUUACCGCCUUGGGAUAGGCUUGCGUCUGAUUAGUUAGUUGGUGUGGUAACGGCACACCAAGGCUACGAUCAGUAACUGGUCUGAGAGGACGAUCAGUCACACUGGAACUGAGACACGGUCCAGACUCCUACGGGAGGCAGCAGUGAGGAAUAUUGGGCAAUGCUCGAAAGAGUGACCCAGCAACGCCGCGUGGAGGAUGAAGGUAUUCUAUAUCGUAAACUCCUGUGAGAGCAGACGAAAGACAGAUUAUUAAUCUGGAUGACUGUAUGCUCAGAGGAAGCCCCGGCUAACU
rnacentral:rRNA from 1 species